rnacentral:lncRNA from 1 species
AGAUCAGAGGGACACUUAUACCCAUAUCCUUUGUGAGCUACUCUUGACAGUAGAGUGCUCCGCAGUUGGUCACGUUCAGUGAGAUGUACAUUUACAUCUCACUUAUAUGCCAUACUAGUAUCUCCACACUCCUUGAUUAAUAGGAUAACCAACGCUCAUGGUACAUAAUGAUCUAUACUUGAUAUAGCUAUCAUCCUAAUA